GUCCGAUCGGCACGUAAGUCUUGUAAAAGCUACUCCCUAAAACGCUCCCAGGUGCUGCGAACAUCCCUGGCCACUGAUUGGCUGAGGCCUUUCCGCCCAUUCGCUCCCUCGACUUUAAAUGCGUUGCCUGCGGGAAGCAGAUGUUGCGAGUUUGGAGUUCGUUGCAGUUUGGUUGGAGACGUGAAGCGGUAACGCGUUUGCCUCUGAGAAAAUCGCCUGCGGAACGAGAUUUAAACGGAGCCUGAAAAGAUUCAGCGCAGCCCCGUUCGAAAAGAAAUUGGUGAUAUAGCCAGUAGAAGAAAGGACCCUUGUCUGUCGAUAAAGUCAGCAGGAUGAUUCAACAGGGCGCAAAUCUCCAGUCCUCUAAUAAUGAACUUGUGGAUUAUAUGAUAGAGUUGUGCAUUCAGAAAAGUGAAGUAGACGAGCAAAUUGAAAAGUUAAUAAAAAGCAAGGCUAAGGUUCAGAAUGAAAUUGAGAUGUUAACCCAACAACUGGAAAAUAUAUGUGAAAG